UUAAUUUAACUUGGGAGUCAGAACAUGGGUGAUAAGGUCCGUGUUCGAAAGGGAAACAGCCCAGACCACCAGCUAAGGUCCCAAAAUAUAUGUUAAGUGGAAAAGGAUGUGGCGUUGCCCAGACAACUAGGAUGUUGGCUUAGAAGCAGCCAUCAUUUAAAGAGUGCGUAAUAGCUCACUAGUCGAGUGACACUGCGCCGAAAAUGUACCGGGGCUAAACAUAUUACCGAAGCUGUGGAUUGUCCUUUGGACAAUGGUAGGAGAGCGUUCUAAGGGCGUUGAAGCAUGAUCGUAAGGACAUGUGGAGCGCUUAGAAGUGAGAAUGCCGGUGUGAGUAGCGAAAGACGGGUGAGAAUCCCGUCCACCGAUUGACUAAGGUUUCCAGAGGAAGGCUCGUCCGCUCUGGGUUAGUCGGGUCCUAAGCUGAGGCCGACAGGCGUAGGCGAUGGAUAACAGGUUGAUAUUCCUGUACCACCUAUA
rnacentral:rRNA from 1 species